rnacentral:tRNA from 1 species
GUGAUUGUAUCUCAGUGGUUGGAGUGCUUGCCUAGCAUGUGUGAGGCAUUGGGUUCAAUCCCCAGCACCACA